UACGAAGGGGGCUAGCGUUGCUCGGAAUCACUGGGCGUAAAGCGCACGUAGGCGGACUCUUAAGUCGGUGGUGAAAUCCUGGAGCUCAACUCCAGAACUGCCUUCGAUACUGAGAGUCUCGAGUCCGGGAGAGGUGAGUGGAACUGCGAGUGUAGAGGUGAAAUUCGUAGAUAUUCGCAAGAACACCAGUGGCGAAGGCGGCUCACUGGCCCGGUACUGACGCUGAGGUGCGAAAGCGUGGGGAGCAACCAGG
rnacentral:rRNA from 1 species